ACGUCACACUGCCGAGAAAAGCUUCUAGUGAGUCAUCAACUACCCGUACCGCAAACCGACACAGGUAGUCGAGGAGAGAAUCCUCAGGUGAGCGAGUGAACUCUCGUUAAGGAACUCGGCAAAAUGACCCCGUAACUUCGGGAGAAGGGGUGCUGUGCGCAAGCACAGCCGCAGUGAAAAGGCCCAGGCGACUGUUUAUCAAAAACACAGGUUUCUGCAAAAUCGUAAGAUGACGUAUAGGGGCUGACGCCUGCCCGGUGCUGGAAGGUUAAGUGGAUGAGUUAGCUUCGGCGAAGCCCAGAAAUGAAGCCCCAGUAAACGGCGGCCGUAACUAUAACGGUCCUAAGGUAGCGAAAUUCCUUGUCGGGUAAGUUCCGACCCGCACGAAAGGCGUAACGAUCUGGGCACUGUCUCAACGAGAGACUCGGUGAAAUUAAGAUACCUGUGAAGAAGCAGGUUACCCGCGACAGGACGGAAAGACCCCAUGGAGCUUUACUGUAGCUUGAUAUUGGGUGUUGACACAGCUUGUACAGGAUAGGUAGGAGCCAUUGAAGCCGGAACGCUAGUUUCGGCAGAGGCGUUGGUGGGAUACUACCCUCGCUGUGUGAACACUCUAACCCGCGCCACUCAGCGUGGCGGGAGACAGUGUCAGGUAGGCAGUUUGACUGGGGCGGUCGCCUCCCAAACAGUAACGGAGGCGCCCAAAGGUUCCCUCAGAAUGGUUGGAAAUCAUUCAACGAGUGUAAAGGCAGAAGGGAGCUUGACUGCGAGACAGACAGGUCGAGCAGGGACGAAAGUCGGGCUUAGUGAUCCGGUGGUACCGUAUGGAAGGGCCAUCGCUCAACGGAUAAAAGCUACCCUGGGGAUAACAGGCUUAUCUCCCCCAAGAGUCCACAUCGACGGGGAGGUUUGGCACCUCGAUGUCGGCUCAUCGCAUCCUGGGGCUGUAGUCGGUCCCAAGGGUUGGGCUGUUCGCCCAUUAAAGCGGUACGCGAGCUGGGUUCAGAACGUCGUGAGACAGUUCGGUCCCUAUCCGUCGCGGGCGUAGGAAAUUUGAGAGGAGCUGUCCUUAGUACGAGAGGACCGGGAUGGACAUACCGCUGGUGUACCAGUUGCGCCGCCAGGCGCACCGCUGGGUAGCUACGUAUGGAUGAGAUAAACGCUGAAAGCAUCUAAGUGUGAAACUCACCUCAAGAUGAGAUUUCCCAUUCCUAUAUGGAAGUAAGACCCCUGAGAGAUGAUCAGGUAGAUAGGUUGGAAGUGGAAGUGCAGUGAUGUACGGAGCGGACCAAUACUAAUCGGUCGAGGACUUAACCAAG
rnacentral:rRNA from 1 species